rnacentral:rRNA from 1 species
GGGCGCUGGAGAAUUGAGGGGGGCUGCUCCUAGUACGAGAGGACCGGAGUGGACGCAUCACUGGUGUUCGGGUUGUCAUGCCAAUGGCACUGCCCGGUAGCUAAAUGCGGAAGAGAUAAGUGCUGAAAGCAUCUAAGCACGAAACUUGCCCCGAGAUGAGUUCUCCCUGAGACUUUAAGUCUCCUGAAGGAACGUUAAAGACGAUGACGUUGAUAGGCCGGGUGUGUAAGCGCAGCGAUGCGUUGAGCUAACCGGUACUAAUGAACCGUGAGGCUUAACCUU